UACGUAGGGUGCAAGCGUUUGUCCGGAAUUAUUGGGCGUAAAGAGCUCGUAGGCGGUCUGUCGCGUCUGCUGUGAAAAACUCAGGGCUUAACCCUGAGCUUGCAGUGGGGUACGGGGCAGACUAGAGUGCGGUAGGGGGAGACUGGAAUUCCUGGUGUAGCGGUGAAAUGCGCAGAUAUCAGGAGGAACACCGAUGGCGAAGGCAGCUCGCUGGGACGGUACUG
rnacentral:rRNA from 1 species